rnacentral:rRNA from 1 species
GACGGAGGAGGCAAGCAUUGUCCGGAAUUAUUGGGCGUAAAGAACACGUAGGCGGUUUAUCAAGUCAUAUGUGAAAACCUUGGGCUUAACUUAAGGAUUGCAUAUGAUACUGGUAAACUAGAGUAUAGUAGAGGAAAGCGGAAUUCCUGGUGUAGCGGUGAAAUGCGCAGAUAUCAGGAAGAACACCAGUGGCGAAAGCGGCUUUCUGGACUGUUACUGACGCUGAGGUGUGAAAGCUAGGGGAGCGAACAGGAUUAGAUACCCUGGUAGUCCUAGCUGUAAACGAUGGACACUAGGUGUGGGGAGUUAUCGACGCUCUCUGUGCCGAAGCUAACGCAUUAAGUGUCCCGCCUGGGGAGUACGGUCGCAAGACUAAA